rnacentral:rRNA from 1 species
AGCAGCCGCGGUAAUUCCAGCUCCAAUAGCGUAUAUUAAAGUUGUUGCAGUUAAAAAGCUCGUAGUUGAAUUUCGAGAUCAAAUUGUUGGUCGUGCCUUGGUACGCACUGGCAUUAUUGGUUUCUCCCUUCUGACGAACCAUGAUGUCAUUAAUUUGGUGUCUUGGGGAAUCAGGACUGUUACUUUGAAAAAAUUAGAGUGUUUAAAGCAGGCUCACGCUUGAAUACAUUAGCAUGGAAUAAUGAAAUAGGACGUUUGAUUCUAUUUUGUUGGUUUCUAGGAUCGACGUAAUGAUUAAUAGGGAUAGUUGGGGGCAUUAGUAUUCAAUUGUCAGAGGUGAAAUUCUUGGAUUUAUUGAAGACUAACUACUGCGAAAGCAUUUGCCAAGGAUGUUUUCAUUAAUCAAGAACGAAAGUUAGGGGAUCGAAGACGAUCAGAUACCGUCGUAGUCUUAACCAUAAACUAUGCCGACU